ensembl:lncRNA
GCUGCCGGUGCGCGGCGGCGGGGAGCGCGCAACCUGCGCCCGGGGGAGGUAGCGGCUCCGGCGCCGCGGUCCCUCGCGGAGGCGGAGAGGAUGAGGGUGGCUUCUGGCUGCUUUUUUUGCCUCCUCGAGAUGAUUUCCAUAGUAACCUGAUCGAGCGGUGCAAUUUCGGAAACUGGGGUGGCUUUAUUAUUAUUAUUAUUAUUUUUUUUAUUUUUUUUCCAUUUUUUUCUCCGCUUCUUCCCUCCCACCUCGUCGGCCCCCGAGGAGUGACAGGCGGCAGAUUCGAACUAGCUGGCAGUUUCUUCUACACUUGAAGCAAUGAGUGAGUAAUGACAAGGUAAAAAGGGCCUAGGACUAAUUUAUAUGCAUUUUUAACUCUAUUCCACAAAUUGCUGAAAGACUUACUGUUUGUUUUAAAAAUCGGAGUUCUCAUGCCUAGCUGCACAUGCGUGUAAUAGCUCCUUGCUGUGCCUCUCCUGCCCUGGGGAGGAGACCAGGGAAUCUUUUUUCUUCUACCCAGCCCUCCCAUUGUUCUCAUUCACAGACCCUGUGAGAUUAAAUGGCUGAUAGUGUUCUCUGACCCGUACCACUGCUUUCCACUUUGAGGUCCUGAAAUAGAUUUCCCUUGCCUUUGGCAAGUGCAGCUCAUGUCUGUGCCCUACAGCCCAUUGCCUGAGGUGUGCAGGAGAGCAAGCAACAGAUAUGAAGGCAAUGGAAUUCAGGCAGCACCAGUCUCUGUGCAGAGCACCAGAACAUGCAGGUUUCCACCCAUUCUGACACUAAAGAUUUCUUGAGUAAUCACCAAAUACUCAUCCUGCUGCACGAAAUGCAUGUGUAGUGCCUUUGCUGUAGGCCUUACCAGCCACAGCGACUCCACAAGAAAGGGAACUCUAGCAGUAAGGUUAAUGACUGUUUCUUGUUUGGUGGUCUAGUCCUGUAGCACAAAGAAAACACGUUAUGAACUUGCGUACUGUAGGCUCAUCUGUGGGCAGUGAUAUAACUUGUCAUCUAAGACUGUUCCCUUGGAUGGAAACAGCCAGAAAGUUUUAUCCAUUGAUACCUACCUGCUAAAAUAAGAGAGACGUGGUACAAAUUGCUGUAUUUGAGGAACAGGUCUGAAUUCAUAAAUUAAUGUUUCAUGCUGCUUUUUUUCCCCCAAGAAAAUAGGAUAGAACAUCCAUUUGAGAGGAGCUAUUUUGUGCUCUUUUUACUACCAACCCCCCCCCCUUUUUUUUUAGAUCUGAAAGCUUCUGACGCCUCUAUAGAUAGUAAUUUUAAUUAAUUUCCCAAUUAUUAAGAAUAUACCCACUCAGAGGAACAUGCUAAACAUCACAAUUGUAAAGAUUAAUUGUUCAGAUGUAAUUAGAGCCGUGUUCUGUGCUCAAAAGCACUGGUGAAUGUCUACAGUCGCACUAUUUAAAUCAUUUAAAUCUAUAUUGGACUAAUGCCAUUAUCUCUAAAAUCAAGAUCUGCUCAAUAGUGCUUGGUUAUCCUCUUGCUUAGAAUAUUUUUAAUGUGGACUGUUUGUCUUCAAGGUACUAGUGAAGCUAGUUUUCUCAAAAGCAAAAUGAAGCAAAACCCAAACAAAACCUAGGCAAGCUCUUUAAAGAGGAACGAAACAAUUACUUCUCUCUAGCGGUCAUUCCCUUCAGAGUUUUGAGCAGAAGACAAAGCCUGUUUUCUAUGGAGCAGUUUUCUGAAGAUUAAGUGCUAAAUAAUUACUGCUUUUCGGUUGUGUGAAUCAGUGGGACACAGAGCAAGAAUACUUUGUGGGUUGAAAGGCAGGGAGGAGGUAGUGGUGUUAAUGGAAAAGAAGUGGGUGGUAAUCGUACAAUAAAGACCCUAGGAUAUUAACCUUUGACUUGCACAUGUUGUUUAUUUCAUGCUUGAUUAAUAGUUUUAAAAUUUAGGAGAAAAGACACCUUUUGGCCUUUUAAACAAUGCACACCUUCAGUGAAACACUCCUCUUUGUUUUGCUUGCUUAUCGGAAAGAGGAAAAUCGAAUGGUAUUAGUCACACUUACAGCCAUUUGAUUGCAUUUGUAGUAGUAGUUGAUGGCCUUUUAUUUGGAGCCUAUGCAGUUUCAUUUGGAGUGCAACACACGCUGCAUUCAUCUAGAGGAUUAACUCAAUUCUCUACGUUAGGAGGGUGACCUUGACCAACACAGUGUGUUUGGCUACAUGCAGUACUGCCUCUCCUUGAUUUUGGGAGAGGUGUGUUUUUUAUUGUAGUUAAUAGCUACAAAGUUUGUAUGUUAACUUAUCCAGAUUCCCAUCCCCAUUUCUGUUUUUGAAUGAGUACUUCUUACAUGAGUAUUGGGCAACGUUCUGCCUCUGAUGCAAAUAUUUGGCUCUCUCAGUUCCCAAUGGGAGCCAUUUGUGCGCUUGCAAGAAAUUUGGUUUACAAACCUCUGCUCAUGCUCUGAGUGGGCUAGCUCUAGGGUGAGUGAAGUGGGUUGAGCACAGGCUGGCAGAUGAUCAAUUCUGUGUGUGAUUCCCUCACAUCUACAAAGCAGAAUCAGAUUGAUCAGCACAGUUUACAUGGUGUUACUAUUUUACACCCUUAAAAACCCUUAAGAACCAUUAAAAACUCAAACUCUCCUUUUCAGUGUGAGAUGAUAUUAGAUUCUUUUAUGGCUGCUUAAUGUCUGUGGGUACCUGGCUCCCACUGAAUUGUAAAGUGCCCUUUUGUAGUUGGGAAAUUCUAACCCUUAUGGUUUUAGGGGGAAACGAUCUCUUUUUGCCCCCAGUUCUGAGUCUGAAUUUCUGUAGGUAACAUAGCACAGCAAUAUGCUUACUGUCUUUUCUAUAGAUGCUUUCCUCUGCAUUAUAGGACUGAAACACCUCGUACAUAUUGUACAUAUUCACAUACAAAAAGCCUUGGUCUGGAAAAUGAGCAUAAUAAAACAUUUAAUUUUGCAGACUUUACUUUGCAUAGCACGCAGUUUUAUUUCUGUAAACAUCAGACAUUCAUAUCUGUUAUUUAUGUAAAUUCCUAUGUCUGUUAUAGAUUUGCAAUCUUUGCACAUUCUCCAUUGAAAUUUGAUUAUGCAGUUUGUAAAACACAGACAGGAAUUUAAUGCCCAUUCCUGGUGAUGAUGAAGCAUUUUCUUGCUUUUCAGCAGCACGCAAUCUUUUGAUUUUAUCAGAGGUGGAACCUAAAUAGGUAUAUCAGAACAGCGAACAGAAUGAGUGUGUUUUUGGUUGUUAUGGAGCUUUUGGUAAGCGUUGUGUGGCUGCAAAAAGAGCUGCUGUGUGUGUGUGGGAGUGCUGGUGUCUGAACCGCUGAUUGCUGCCAGAGGUUGCUGGAGUGAAGACAAAUGAGUUCUUCAAAGCAAUUAAAAGCAGUGUAGGUGAUGAAACAGCAUCCAGUAAUCUCUCCCGGUUUCGUAUAAUGUUAGAUUUAGGUCAGUGUCAGUGCCAUGUGUUGCACAGAGGGUGGAAGCCACCGCUGAACCUUCCGUGCGGAUGCUCUGUAGCAGUGUCUUUUGGGGUGGAAAGAGUGCUGGUAGGAGCACACCACAAGAAAGCUCUGCACACUCCAGUGGUUCCCCUUUCAAUUCUGAGUACACUUCAAGGUCCUGAUCCUUCUGUUCUUAAUGGACUGGGGCCUGUCUUUGAGGCCACCUUUCCAUUUGCAGUCAGGAUGCACAGGUUUAACAAAGGUGCUGCGCUUGUUACAGCUGUGUGUGAAGCAGGGAGUCAGAGGCAGGGAGUGCUGCAGGCAUGGACUGAGCAAGCAGCAAAGGUCAGAGUGAGCCUGGAACUGCUCACAGCAUGCUGUGAAGACUGAGUGGCAUUGCUGCUACCACAGGGAGACUGAAAGGGAAAAUGCAGAGAUCGCUAUGUCCUAUGGGCUGAAACGGUUAGCUGCUGUAAGCAGGUCAACUCAGCCAAACUUAGUUGUAUGUAAGUUUUAAUUUACCGUGCCGCAGCUUGAACUUGGUGCCAUAACACUUCACACUGUGUGUCUACUAUAUACUUACACAUAGUUCAAAAAAGAUCAAGUUAGGUAAACCCACAUUAGGGGUAAAAGUCCAUAUAAACAGGUCUUUACUUUCUGUCUCUUUGCUGCUUUAGCCUCAGGUAGUUCAGCAAAAGAUGGGGGGGAAAACUGCCUCCUCCCAGUGCCAGGUCAGUGGGACAUUGUCUUGAAGUCGCUUUGAGCUUCUGAAGAACUACCUACUUUCAUACUCAAAGAAGCAUGCUUACGGUGCAAAGCAGUUCUGGUUUUUCUUUCUCUAAAAUCCAUCCCAUUUUAUAGUAGAUGGGAUAUUCACGGUCUGAGAACCAGGUGUUUUACUGUUGUGCAGCGUGUGCUCCUGCUGUGAUAUAGGGGUAUGGUGCAUCUACAACAUUUUAAUGGUAAAACAGUUGCAGUGGUUUUGGCAUUUCUAAAAAUAAUACUGGGAGGAGAAGCUUUGAAAGCAUAGAAUCAUAGAAUGGCUUGGGUUGGAAGGCACCUCAAGGAUUGUAAAGCACGAACCCCCCUGUGGCCUGCAGGGCCACCAACCUCCAUAUCUAAUAGUAGACUCUUACCCAUUUACUUAAAGGAAUUUCUUUCUCUGUUCACACCAAUAAAGGCAAGGCCAGUACAUCAUAUUACAAAUACAUCUGAAAGUUCACAAGAUGUCUUUCAACCCCAUCCUGCUCCAUCCUUUGUGACCAUCACAUAUCGUCUGUACUGAGCACAUUUCACACCAUAAGGGUAUGUGCUGCAGCUUUGUCCUCUACCUCCCCUCUGGUCACGGGAUCACUUGGGUCAGAAGGGGCCUCUGGGGAUCACCUGUUAGCUGCAGCUCUGUGGUGCCAAAAUGGUGCUAUUGAGGGAGACUUAUUUCUGUUGCAGCAGUAUGUGCUGACGAUGGGCGAUGUAACAGCAUCCAAAUGCAGUCUUCCAAGAAACCUGCCCAGGAAGCUUGUGCAAGUGCUUGUGGCUGAGGUCAGGCAAGGCCUGGUUUGCCAUUUGCAGCAGUUCUCUGCGUGGCAGUGGCAAAAGGAGGGGGCAAAGCAGUGUAGAAAAAUACUCUUCCCUUAGGCAUACUGAACUGAAUCAUCGAAUGCUGGAAGCUGUCACCCGUAAUAGUACCUGAAGCAGAGAGGUCACACUGGCUUCCUUCAACACAGCACUGCUGUGUCCUGGGGAACCCCCUGUUCACACUCUGGCAGAGACACCGAAACAGCAGUGAGUAGAUUGAGCAGCUGAUGUGGGGAAGGGAAAGAGGCUUAGGCUGGGAGGCAGGAGGAAAGGGGAACAGUGCGUGCUCCCUUGUGCUGGCGGGGUUGGGAUGGGAUCGACUCUUUGUCAAGUCAGGCAAAGAGGCAAAAGACUUGAUGGAGUAGAUGGUGUCAUUUGCUUGAGAGAAGAAGUACUACGCCUCCUCAUUUCUGCUUUAAAUGAGGGAUUCAAACUAGCCCUCCACUUCAGCCAAAACAGCCGUGGGGGCCAUGGCUAUCUGUGCGGAUGGUGACUUGUAGACGUCACACUCACGUCCUUUCCAGCAGA